rnacentral:rRNA from 1 species
UACGGGGGGUGCGAGCGUUGUCCGGAAUCACUGGGCGUAAAGGGCGCGUAGGCGGUCUUGUAAGUCUGUGGUGAAAGCCCGGGGCUCAACCCCGGGUCUGCCGUGGAUACUGUGAGACUUGAGUGCUGUAGAGGCAGGUAGAAUAUCGGGUGUAGCGGUGGAAUGCGUAGAGAUCCGGAAGAACACCAGUGGCGAAGGCGGCCCGCUGGGCAGUGGCUGACGCUGAGGCGCGACAGCGUGGGGAGCAAACAGG